AAUACUAUUGAUGCAUUCACACAAGGUGAAACGAGCACUCCUGUCACCCACCGGACCUUGUGUGCACCUGUACGGAUAUCACCACGAACAUUGCUUAGUGGUGAUGAAAACAUAGUCAGGCGAAAUAAACAUGUUCUUCCAGAGCAAUGCAUAAUUUGCAAAAGACAAGAGUCAUACAAGGUGGACAAGGCCACUAGAAAACGAAAACUGCAUAAGUUAGUUCUAGCACAAACGUUUGAUGGGGGUAAAUUAAGAGAGGCUGC